rnacentral:rRNA from 1 species
GCUCAGAGUGAACGUUGGCGGCGUGGAUUAGGCAUGCAAGUCGUGCGGAAAGGCCCCCCACCCUGUCGCUCUCACCGAUCGCGGCGAGCGGCCGGCGUAAGCCGGCUGAUUAAGUCGCGAUUCGAAGACUCGUCUUUCAAAGACUUGUCUUUCGAACAUUGUCUUUUGAAGACAUGAUGGUGCGAGUGCUGGGUGGGGGGUACUCGAGCGGCGAAAGGGAUAGUAACACGUAGGUACCUACCUUGGGGUCGGGGAUAGCCGCGGGAAACUGCGAUUAAUACCCGAUGAUGUCGGUGAUGAAAGUCAUCGUCCAAAGGUGUGAUUCCGCCCUUAGAUGGGCCUGCGUCCUAUUAGCUAGAUGGCGGGGUAACGGCCCACCAAGGCUUAGAUGGGUAGCGGGUGUGAGAGCACGACCCGCAUCACUGGGACUGAGACACUGCCCAGACACCUACGGGUGGCUGCAGUCGAGAAUCUUCGGCAAUGGGCGCAAGCCUGACCGAGCGACGCCGCGUGCGGGAUGAAGGCCCUCGGGUUGUAAACCGCUGUCGUAGGGGAGGAAAUGCCGGUGGGUAAUCUCAUCGGUUUGACCUAUCCCAGGAGGAAGGACGGGCUAAGUUCGUGCUAGCAGCCGCGGUAAUACGAACCGUCCGAACGUUACUCGGAAUCACUGGGCUUAAAGGGUGCGUAGGC